AGUGAACGCUGGCGGUAGGCCUAACACAUGCAAGUCGAACGGCAGCACAGUAAGAGCUUGCUCUUACGGGUGGCGAGUGGCGGACGGGUGAGGAAUACAUCGGAAUCUACUUUUUCGUGGGGGAUAACGUAGGGAAACUUACGCUAAUACCGCAUACGACCUACGGGUGAAAGCAGGGGAUCUUCGGACCUUGCGCGAUUGAAUGAGCCGAUGUCGGAUUAGCUAGUUGGCGGGGUAAAGGCCCACCAAGGCGACGAUCCGUAGCUGGUCUGAGAGGAUGAUCAGCCACACUGGAACUGAGACACGGUCCAGACUCCUACGGGAGGCAGCAGUGGGGAAUAUUGGACAAUGGGCGCAGGCCUGAUCCAGCCAUACCGCGUGGGUGAAGAAGGCCUUCGGGUUGUAAAGCCCUUUUGUUGGGAAAGAAAAGCAGCAGGUUAAUACCCCGCUGUUCUGACGGUACCCAAAGAAUAAGCACCGGCUAACUUCAUG
rnacentral:rRNA from 1 species